rnacentral:lncRNA from 1 species
UAGGUGUCGACUUGAAUGGGGAUGUCUGCGGAAACACUUUUGUAGCCAACGGCAUGUGGCGGUGAAAGGGAAUCGUUGGCGGUCGGCUGGCGUAGCGGGGACGAGGAUGUUUUAAAAAUCUGUCAACAGUGGCCCCCACCCCCGGAGGUCGCUCCUCCUAGUUUUUCCGGCAUGGGCUUCAGGACCUAAGGGAUCUGCGCCCCCAACGCCAUGAGCAAAUGGCAAGCGCUGGCCAGGGUACAUAGAACGUCAAGGAGAUGGAGAGCGGGGCUGGCAUCGUGGAAAAGUCGGGGACUGCUGGCUCGCCAAGUACUCGACAAUAGCUUGGCGAUGCUCACUAUCACGGGGCCGACGUGCAUCUGGGCGAAACCCAGGAAGGCCCAUCUGACCAUAUGUACGCUCUCGAUAUAGGUGGCCUGCUUCACCACAAUGGUAUUAGAGCGGCCGAUUGUCUGGAGUGCGCCAAACACUGGACUUCCGCAUAUUUUUACUUGGGCUUGACGAAGGCAGAGGGCUCGAAAAGUACUGAGGACUUGAGAAGUGCUGUGUCCGCUGUUGCGUGGGUGGGUGGGAUGAAUAGCCAACUGAUGACAUAGGAGAUUUUAAGGCUUCAGCAUACUUCAGGAGAGGGGCUGCGAAUGGCAGCGUGACCAGCAGUUGUACCAGCUGCCUGGCCUCUUCACGAACCACAUUACUUAAAGCAGUCACGUGGGAUGGAGAAGACAUUGCAGGAACUUGUUGCAGCUCCUCGUGUACAUACUGCGCAUGAACUCCCUUAGGGUCGUCAAAUCGGGUGGCCAUAGAUGACGAGAUGUGAAGAUGCUUUGGUGCUUGUACUGCGAUGACCGCUGCCAUAGCAUACGCGCUAUCGUUGUUGCGUCGUUUAAGAGUUCGGCUAUGUUACCUGGUAGGUAACGUAGCCUGGUGGUGCACUAGACCUACGAACAACUGCUCUUUCAUGCCCUGCAUCAACAAGCACACUUCUUCUUCUCAGCCCCCGAGAUCAGCGUGCCGGAACAGCCGCGGCAUGUCCUCAACAAACACGGCGACACUCUCAUUUGGUCUUCAAUUCCUGGAAUUGAGAGCACGUAUUGCGCAGCUGGCUACAAAAUUCUUGCCAGGUCGCCAAACUAGCUUCGUGGUUUUCUAACCAGAUGCACACCGAAUCCUCGAGGGCGAAGUAGACAUACCGGAGCUUCCGGUGGUCCUCCUAUUCACUGACGCUGGCAACUCGAUUGUAGUGGUCCAGCCAGUUCUCAACA